GAUGAACGCUGGCGGCGUGCCUAAUACAUGCAAGUCGAGCGAACGGACGAUAAGCUUGCUUCUCUGAUGUUAGCGGCGGACGGGUGAGUAACACGUGGAUAACCUACCUAUAAUACUGGGAUAACUUCGGGAAACCGGAUCUAAUACCGGAUAAUAUUUUGAACCGCAUGGUUCAAAAGUGAAAUACGGUCUUUCUGUCACUUAUAGAUGGAUCCGCGCUGCAUUAUGUGGUUGGUAAGUUAACAGCUUAUCAAGGGUAGGAUGCAUAGCCGAGCUGAGAGGGGGAUCGGCCACACAGGAAGUGAGACGCGAUACAGACUCUGACGUGAGGCAGCAGUAGGGAAGGUACCGAAAAGGGCGGAAGCCUGACGGAGGAACGCAGCGUGAGUGAAGAAGGUCUUCGGAUGGUAAAACUCUGUUAUGGGUGAAGAACAUAUGUGUAAGUAACUGUGCACAUCUGGACGGUACCUAAUCAGAAAGCCACGGCUAACUACGU
rnacentral:rRNA from 1 species